ACGGCGUGUCUCGCGAGGCCGCGGCAAUGGCCUGGCCCUGAAGAGCACCCCCACAUCAUCCCUCGGUCCUCGGGCCCUGCUUCAUUAACUCGCUCUUCCCGGGGCAACUAUACUUUGAAUAUUGCAUCUUAGGACAUAGAAAUCUUUAACUAAAUGUGACUUUGUCCUUCUGCAUUAGAACAUUAUUAUUCUGCUGGAGCCAAGAAUUAACCUUUGUUUAAUAAGAGCCCUUCCCUGGGGAGGAGCUGGGCCUUCCCUCUCCUUGAAGCAGUCUCUGCUGGGAAGGGUGGGAUUCAACUUCACCCCAAACAGGCACGGAAACACUAACGGGACCAGGCAACUGGAAUUGCUCUGAUGCUUUGCAUAUUUAUGUUUGAGACCUUCGUAUGAACUGUUACUUUAAAAAAGAAGGAUCAGUUCAUCUUUAAAAGGAGGUGAUUGAUCGCUGCCAGUCGGGCAUUUCUUCAUUCUUGGCUUCCUCUUAGCCUCUGUAAUAAGUUCUUCACGAACACCAGUCUGCUAUUAAAGAAUGGUAUUCAUCAUAAGCCAAGCAGGGAGAAGGCAGCAUUUGAUGGGCACAAUACCAUAUUUCAAUCCACAGUGUCCUUUUUGUUCAACUCGAUCUGCUGCGUCGUUAACGUUUGAGGAAAAAACCACACAAAGACUUUGGUAAAUAUUAAUCAGCAGUGCACAGCCCCUUUCCCAACUCGAUUACCCAUUACUGGGCACUCCAGGUGAUAAUGUCCCACUAAACCUCCUAUUUGCUUAAAAUGCAAGUGAAAAGUACUUUCAGCAGAUCGCGUGCCGCGCUCUCUGCAGACUAAGUGGUCUGUAGCAGUGGGGAAACCCUCUUCCUCUCUCUCCCCAUCAUCCUUUCUCCCAGCCCUCCAGUGUCUGGGUGUGUGUCCAGCCUCCCGGCUCCUCACUGCCGUCCUGAGGGGUCAUAACUUCAGCGAGGCGUCCGGAUGAGCUGAGACCUGGAGAAGGAGCCCCACACGUGCGCGGUGGGUCCCCGGAUCAGGGCACCUCUGUAGGGUGCGAUCUCUUUGAACUCAGAAGUCCAUUUCCUCCCACUUCAGAUCUUAUCAGACCAUGCAAAUUGCCAUCAACCUUUCCACACCGGCUGAAGCAGGUCUAAGUCAUGGUCUUCCUUAUUAUCAGCGAAGUGAUUAAAAGUCCAUCAGAUCAACUGGGCUCUGACACAACAUUAAAAAUGUUCUUGGGUGAAAUCUGUUUCUCCACUCCUCUAACUGGUGUAAGUUCAAAGAGGCUCAUAAUGAAAUCUUGUCCCAUCCGUGUCAGCUCCUCAAGUUAACAAUGAAUAUUAAAAUCUAGGUGGCAAGAGCGGGACUCAUCACAGGACAUCAAAAUCUGAACCCAAAAGGCCGUGCUACUGAGAGCAGCUACUUCAUACAAACAGCAAAUAUUCAAUCUGACUGUGAAGAGGUAAGGGGCAAGGCUUCAUCACACACUUCCUGGAGGUCGGGUCAAUCUCCCUAUGAGCCUGGAAUUAGCAGCAGCAGAAUGAAGUGAGAUGGUUUUUAGGUGAGCUGCUAACUCAAGUUAUUUGACAAUUCCAUCCCUGUUUCAAAAACCAGGGUGACUCACCCUGGUUUUUCUACAAAUUGAACAAAAUGUUUUCCCCAAAACAAUUUCUUCUUUGUUUCUGUAUGACAUUAUGUCUUUUCUCUAUAAAAGUAACAGUGCACAGAUAUGUAUGAGGCACUUGGCACAUUUUAAUUUUGUGAAAGAUGCAUCUAUGAGCUGUCCCCUAAACACACCAUCAGAGAUUCUUUUUGUUUUGUUUUGUUCUUAGUGACACAGCCUUGGUGCUCUCCUAUGUGCUGAGUACUUGAGAAAUAAAGAGGUAGAACCAAAAGAUGCCCUGUUUUGCUGCGAUACAGACAAAUCAAACCAACAAAAGAAGUAUGUUUUUCAAUAUACUCGGGAGGUAUAAUUCUUGCACAAUAGUUUGUUUUUAGGUUACUUUUUCUACUCUUAAAUACAGGAAAUUAGACCUUCUAUACCAGGGCUUUGAACUUCUUUUGUACUUGAUUCACCAUAAGAAGCACAUUUGAUGUUAUGAGCCAGUACGCAUAUGUUUAUAUGUAUAAAGAAAUAGCUAUUUAAAAAACAGCAUUUCCCUUGCUAUACGAAAAGUACUCAUAUGUAUUCUGUUUUUUUUUAAAAGUGCUGGUCAUAACACACAAUAUUGAUUCCACUGAUUGAUCUUGAUCCACAAUUUGAAAAACCAUGUUCUACCCUAAAAUAUAUGAGCUGUUCAAUGCAAAACCCAAGAGGUAUUCUUCGUUCUAGCAUAAUGACUUUUUAACAGAUUGAUUAACCCUGACGGGGUUGCGGGGGGUCCCCUUAUGAAGGAAGGGGAUGAUCUGAACAGGUUAUUAACUACCAUGAACCAAGAUUUAAAAACGCUAGUGCAGGCUGAAACCUGUUUCAGUGAAGAAAGUGUAAAACAUCCCUUUGGUUUUAUACAGGCUGUUUCUACUGUCAGGGAUACCAAUCACUGUUCAUGGUUUCAGGACAGUGGUUUCGUUUAUUCCUUCCUUCGUCCCUUAGUACCUGCCUCCCUUCCUGCCUUCUUUCUUUCUUCAUUUCCUUCUUUUGGUUCCUUUUAAGUCAAGCUGUGCCUCCAUGACAAAAGUGAAAAAGAGCGUUAACUGUCUGAACGUUCCCAAAUGUCCGAUGCCUCGGCAUCGUGCGGCAGACGUGAUGACUGUCCCUCCUGCCCUCCCGAGUCACCUCUCCUGCAUCUGUUUGGCAAGUUUCACAGAGCCUCAGAUGAGUGAGCUGAAUCUGAGUGAUGUUCGACAGUCAACCAGUAUUUAUUAAGCUCUGACUUUGUGCCAGGCGCACAUAGCUAGUCAGUAGCUAUUCCAGCUUGUCUGACUCCAGAUUCUCUGCUCCUAACCACAAUAUUCUGCUGGUUCUGAAUGGGCGAUGCUGGAAGCCGAGUUUACCAGACUCUUAAUCUGACGUAACUUCCCACCGAUUCCAAGGAACAGCAAUGUCAGGCGAACACGGGACUAUGAAGGAUUCUCACGGCCAAGCUUAAGAGCAACGAUUUUCCAUCUGGUAACCAGACAUUAGGACACAUUUUAAGCAACUAACUGGACAUGCCGCACGGAUCCCUUGGGCCAGAUGGAAACUGGAAAUAGCACAAAUGAACUGGGAGGCUUGAGACAGCAUUUCUGCAAGAGAUAAAGGCCAAAGGAGACGAAGGCGCUCUGAGUUUCUGCUUGCUCAGGAACCUGGAGUUGCUCACAGUCAUGUGGGUAUUACACCAGGCCCUGGUCCAGACACCUCAACUUUUUUCCUGGUCAGAUUGGGCAGCACCCCCUUAUUUCUAUUGGGAAAAGGAUGGGACCAGUUUGGGGGAAACCGAGCAUAGCAAGAGAAUUGUUACUGCCCCCAGAGGGUCAGCUGACGGGGCUUAAAUCAAUGGAUUCAGCCAAGGGCACUCUGGGCAAUGUCUGGAAACAUUUUUGGUUGACACAACUGGGAGGUUGUGCUAGCAUCUGGCAUGUUGAGCCUGAGAAUGCCGCUACAUGCCCUACACAGCACAGGACAGCUGCCCACGGGAGAGAGGGACAUGUCUUCCCCCGCCCCCAUGUCACAGGGUCAAGGUCAGCAAAGCAAACCUGGCUUGAAUGACGAAGAUGAUGCUGAUAAUCACGAUGACACAAAUAACUAAAGCUCCUGUUUAUUGAAUGACCACCUCAAGCCCGCCUCUUAUUUACUUCAUUGUCUAUUUAUUUACUAUUCAACUUACCAUUACUAUUUAAGUCUUAUACUAACUCCC